rnacentral:tRNA from 1 species
GGGCGCGUAGCUCAGCGGGAGAGCGCUCGCCUUACAAGCGAGUGGUCGCAGGUUCGAUCCCUGCCGCGCCCACCC